UACGGGGGGAGCAAGCGUUGUUCGGAUUUACUGGGCGUAAAGGGCGCGUAGGCGGCGCGACAAGUCACUUGUGAAAUCUCUGGGCUCAACCCAGAACGGUCAAGUGAUACUGUCGUGCUAGAGUGCGGAAGGGGCAACUGGAAUUCUUGGUGUAGCGGUGAAAUGCGUAGAUAUCGCCUGGAGCGCCGACGGUGAAAACAGCUCGCUGGGGGUGUUCUGACGCUGAGACACGAAAGCCAGGGGAGCGAACGGG
rnacentral:rRNA from 1 species